AAUCAGAAUAAUCGUUAAUAUCUUCACAUGGCUUGACUAGCAAAAGCUGUGUAGCUUGCCAACAUAGUCAUAUAUGACGUCCUGAUUUAUUUUGAAUUACCACAAGGGGGAACCUGCAUCUUUCCAGUCAUUUCGAAAUCCUAAAACACUAUGUAUUCCAAACUAAAGACGACAGGUAGAGGAGAUGCCUGAUGGUGAUCCAAUAAAAGUUCUUGUUUCUUAACUAAAUGUAUUCAACAAUGUUUUAGUGACAUUUUAAGAGUUUUAACUACAUUUUGUUGAUUAUUGGGAUAAUAAAGUAACUUGCAAUUAUUUUGGCAGGGAUGAUCAGGACAUGAAAUCAUAUCUUCCCAUGCUUACCCACGUCCAUUAUUUACAGCAUGUCGGGGCAGAUAUUACAUUGUACUUCAGUGCAUCCAGCCAUAAUGCACUGAUGGUGUAAAGUGAAAGGUUAUUGUCUGUUGACGUGGAUUUAUUAUGUUAUUAUUAUAUUCUUAAAGAUAACAUGAAAUCAUGUUUCUUUCUGUGUAUUACAAUUAAGUUCAUUGUAUUUACUAUUGUUGCCUCUGUGUAAUGUUCUGCUUUUCUCUUUCAGUGAGGAACUCUUCACUUCGUUCAUUGAGCUUGCAUGAGGAUUGCUAUAGUGCAUUGCAGUGUGAUCCAGAGCCCUGUGGUGCUUCACGCAGUAUACAUGCAGCUCUCUCCACCAGCAGAGCAGCAGCGGAGCCAGCUUGUAAGAGCAAACUUAAAUCAGGUGGGAGUACGGCAGGAUUAUUCUCUAAUCUGAGGAAGAAGCUAGGUGCCCUGAAGAACCCACAUCAGAUGCCUCCAGAGCCACAGGAUUUGUUGUCCAGUUGUAAUGAAGAUUGCACUGCACCCAAACAAACACCCAGAGACCCUCUGCUGCAGUUGGUCUCCCUCCAGAAGGCGUCUGGCUGCUGGGUGCUAGAUCCAGCUCUGGCUGCUGCACUGGGAAAGACCAGGAAGAAGGUGGAAAAAAGGAAACCUUCAUCGGUGGGUUAUUGUCAAAGUCAAUAACACAAGAGAAAAAUAAGUCUAAGUUUAAAACAAAUGAAGUACUAAAACACAUGUAACUAAAUCAACACCGCAUAAAACAAAACCAAAUCAAAUGAACAUGGGGAUUAGUCAGACAAAAGAUACAUCACUGCAUGAAAAAAAGUCUGGAAAUCUGGGCCCAGAGUACUGGUGGUACUCGAGCACUUAAGCACCCUCGGAGCUGGCACCAAUGUCUGGUUUUAUAUAGUAGCUACCUGAGG
rnacentral:lncRNA from 15 species